GAUGAACGCUGGCGGCGUGCCUAAUACAUGCAAGUCGAACGCAUAGCGAAAGGUGCUUGCACCUUUCAAGUGAGUGGCGAACGGGUGAGUAACACGUGGACAACCUGCCUCAAGGCUGGGGAUAACAUUUGGAAACAGAUGCUAAUACCGAAUAAAACUUAGUGUCGCAUGACACAAAGUUAAAAGGCGCUUCGGCGUCACCUAGAGAUGGAUCCGCGGUGCAUUAGUUAGUUGGUGGGGUAAAGGCCUACCAAGACAAUGAUGCAUAGCCGAGUUGAGAGACUGAUCGGCCACAUUGGGACUGAGACACGGCCCAAACUCCUACGGGAGGCUGCAGUAGGGAAUCUUCCACAAUGGGCGAAAGCCUGAUGGAGCAACGCCGCGUGUGUGAUGAAGGCUUGCGGGUCGUAAAGCACUGUUGUAUGGGAAGAACAGCUAGAAUAGGAAAUGAUUUUAGUUUGACGGUACCAUACCAGAAAGGGACGGCUAAAUACGUG
rnacentral:rRNA from 1 species